rnacentral:rRNA from 1 species
UCUUGGCCAGCCUUCUGAAAGGAAGAUUAAUCCAGGAUGGGAUCAUGAGUUCACAUGUCCGCAUGAUUAAAGGUAUUUUCCGGUAGACGAUGGGGAUGCGUUCCAUUAGAUAGUAGGCGGGGUAACGGCCCACCUAGUCAACGAUGGAUAGGGGUUCUGAGAGGAAGGUCCCCCACAUUGGAACUGAGACACGGUCCAAACUCCUACGGGAGGCAGCAGUGAGGAAUAUUGGUCAAUGGGCGAUGGCCUGAACCAGCCAAGUAGCGUGAAGGAUGACUGCCCUAUGGGUUGUAAACUUCUUUUAUAAAGGAAUAAAGUCGGGUAUGCAUACCCGUUUGCAUGUACUUUAUGAAUAAGGAUCGGCUAACUCCGUGCCAGCAGCCGCGGUAAUACGGAGGAUCCGAGCGUUAUCCGGAUUUAUUGGGUUUAAAGGGAGCGUAGAUGGAUGUUUAAGUCAGUUGUGAAAGUUUGCGGCUCAACCGUAAAAUUGCAGUUGAUACUGGAUGUCUUGAGUGCAGUUGAGGCAGGCGGAAUUCGUGGUGUAGCGGUGAAAUGCUUAGAUAUCACGAAGAACUCCGAUUGCGAAGGCAGCCUGCUAAGCUGCAACUGACAUUGAGGCUCGAAAGUGUGGGUAUCAAACAGGAUUAGAUACCCUGGUAGUCCACACGGUAAACGAUGAAUACUCGCUGUUUGCGAUAUACGGCAAGCGGCCAAGCGAAAGCGUUAAGUAUUCCACCUGGGGAGUACGCCGGCAACGGUGAAACUCAAAGGAAUUGACGGGGGCCCGCACAAGCGGAGGAACAUGUGGUUUAAUUCGAUGAUACGCGAGGAACCUUACCCGGGCUUAAAUUGCACUCGAAUGAUCCGGAAACGGUUCAGCUAGCAAUAGCGAGUGUGAAGGUGCUGCAUGGUUGUCGUCAGCUCGUGCCGUGAGGUGUCGGCUUAAGUGCCAUAACGAGCGCAACCCUUGUUGUCAGUUACUAACAGGUGAUGCUGAGGACUCUGACAAGACUGCCAUCGUAAGAUGUGAGGAA